GAUGAAGAACGUAGCGAAAUGCGAUAAGUAAUGUGAAUUGCAGAAUUCAGUGAAUCAUCGAAUCUUUGAACGCACCUUGCGCCCUUUGGACAUUCCGAAGGGCAUGCCUGUUUGAGUAUCAUGAACACCUCAACUCUCACGGCUUGUCCGUGAUGAGCUUGGACUUUGGGGGUCUUGCCGGCCUGUGGUCGGCUCCUCUCAAAUGGAUCAGCUUGCCAGUGUUUGGUGGCAUCACAGGUGUGAUAACUAUCUGCGCUUGUGGUUUUCCAUCAGAUAACCUUCAGUGAUAUGGAGGUUCGCUGGAGCUCACAAAUGUCUCUCCUUAGUGAGGACAGCUCUUUGAACGUUUGAUCUCAAAUCAGGUAGGACUACCCGCUGAACUUAAGCAUAUCAAUAAUCGGAGGA
rnacentral:misc_RNA from 1 species